rnacentral:rRNA from 1 species
GUGGGGAAUCUUGCGCAAUGGGCGAAAGCCUGACGCAGCCAUGCCGCGUGAAUGAUGAAGGUCUUAGGAUUGUAAAAUUCUUUCACCGGGGACGAUAAUGACGGUACCCGGAGAAGAAGCCCCGGCUAACUUCGUGCCAGCAGCCGCGGUAAUACGAAGGGGGCUAGCGUUGCUCGGAAUUACUGGGCGUAAAUGGCGCGUAGGCGGAUCGUUAAGGCAGGGGUGAAAUCCCAGAUCUUAAGUCUGGAACUGCCCUUGAUACUGGGGAUCUUGAGUGUGAGAGAGGUAUGUGGAACUCCGAGUGUAGAGGUGAGAUUCGUAGAUAUUCGGAAGAACACCAGUGGCGAAGGCGACAUACUGGCUCAAUACAGACGCUGAGGCGCGAAAGCGUGGGGAGCAAACAGGAUUAGAUACCCCUGUAGUCC